rnacentral:rRNA from 1 species
AAAGAAACCAACAGGGAUUGCCCCAGUAACGGCGAGUGAAGCGGCAACAGCUCAAAUUUGAAAUCUGGCCCCCGGGUCCGAGUUGUAAUUUGCAGAGGAUGCUUCGGGCGAGGUGCCUUCCGAGUUCCCUGGAACGGGACGCCACAGAGGGUGAGAGCCCCGUCUGGUCGGACACCGAGCCCGUGUGAAGCUCCUUCGAAGAGUCGAGUAGUUUGGGAAUGCUGCUCAAAAUGGGAGGUAUAUGUCUUCUAAAGCUAAAUAUUGGCCAGAGACCGAUAGCGCACAAGUAGAGUGAUCGAAAGAUGAAAAGCACUUUGAAAAGAGGGUUAAAAAGUACGUGAAAUUGUUGAAAGGGAAGCGCCCAUGACCAGACUUGGGCCCGGUGAAUCACCCGGCGUUCUCGCCGGUGCACUUUGCCGGGCACAGGCCAGCAUCAGUUUGGCGCGGGGGACAAAGGCUUCGGGAACGUGGCUCCCUCGGGAGUGUUAUAGCCCGCUGCGUAAUACCCUGCGCCGGACUGAGGUACGCGCAUCGCAAGGAUGCUGGCGUAAUGGUCAUCAGCGACCCGUCUUGAAACACGGACCAAGGAGUCGUCUUCGUAUGCGAGUGUUCGGGUGUCAAACCCCUACGCGGAAUGAAAGUGAACGCAGGUGAGAGCUUCGGCGCAUCAUCGACCGAUCCUGAUGUUCUCGGAUGGAUUUGAGUAAGAGCAUACGGGGCCGGACCCGAAAGAAGGUGAACUAUGCCUGUAUAGGGUGAAGCCAGAGGAAACUCUGGUGGAAGCUCGCAGCGGUUCUGACGUGCGAAUCGAUCGUCAAAUAUGGGCAUGGGGGCGAAAGACUAAUCGAACCUUC